GCCGGAGUGGCGGAACUGGCAGACGCGCAUGGUUCAGGACCAUGUGGAGGCAACUCCAUGGGGGUUCGAGUCCCUCCUCCGGCA
rnacentral:tRNA from 1 species